UCGAUUUGAAGGUCGUGGUCUUUGGACUGUGGCUUUCGUAGCUAACGCGUUAAAUUGACCGCCUGGGGAGUACGGCCGCAAGGUUAAAACUCAAAUGAAUUGACGGGGGCCCGCACAAGCGGUGGAGCAUGUGGUUUAAUUCGAUGCAACGCGAAGAACCUUACCUACUCUUGACAUCCAGAGAACUAUGUAGAGAUAUGUGGGUGCCUUCGGGAGCUCUGAGACAGGUGCUGCAUGGCUGUCGUCAGCUCGUGUUGUGAAAUGUUGGGUUAAGUCCCGCAACGAGCGCAACCCUUAUCCUUUGUUGCCAGCGAAUUAGGUCGGGAACUCAAAGGAGACUGCCGAUGAUAAAUCGGAGGAAGGUGAGGAUGACGUCAAGUCAUCAUGGCCCUUACGAGUAGGGCUACAAACGUGCUACAAUGGCAUAUACAAAGAGAAGCAAUCUUGUAAAAGUUAGCAAAUCUCAUAAAGUAUGUCUAAGUCCGGAUUGGAGUCUGCAACUCGACUCUAUGAAGUCCGAAUCGCUAGUAAUCGUGUAUCAGAAUGUCACGGUGAAUACGUUCCCGGGCC
rnacentral:rRNA from 1 species